GAAAAGGAGAAACAGGAAACAAGGGAGUGACGUCGAGCAGCAUUCCAUGCUAUAUUAGGGCAGAGUAAAAAGAUGGGAAAGCAACUUGGUGGGCUCAAAACAGAAUCUCGUUAAAAUGUCCUCAAAUGUCAAAUAAAAUUAGAAACCCUGUGUAGCGAGCAGAGCCCUGAUUGGCUGGGAGCGGUUCUGGCGCUCCCCUCACCCUCCCGCCCUCCUUCUGACACGGAGGUUUACAUCGAGGGGAUGAGUGGAAGCAUUUUGAACAUGGGACAUGAAGACCAUGAAGGACAGCGAGACACUCCUUCUAACAGGUGGCCGAGCAAAAGGCAGUUGGAACACACACACGUUUCUGACGGGCCAGAAAACGCCUCAUUUUGCAAACUGCUUUUCUUUCUUGAAAGCACAUUUUGUCCUACUGAUUGAGCAUCGGGCCAGAUCCUGGCAAAGAGGAAAAGUUCGGGGGAGCAGGGGGCAAAACCCAUCCGCCUGCCCUCCCCCACGCGGGCUCCGUCUCCAGUCGAGGGGGUGGCCUUUUAAAAUUCCACUUCUAGCUUCUCAUGGAAUUACUCGGAAAGGAAGCUAAGGGUUCUUCCUUAUCCUGUUUUGGAAUUACGCCCUUUCAACCAGCUAAAACGCAUCUGCUAAUGCUUUUAGGGAAAACAUCCCCACCAGAAGUAAAGUGGCCAGCAGGAAAGUUCUAACGGUGUGCCAAGGGGGGAAAGAACCCCGAGGAAUGAGGAGGGACAGGGGCCUGCGUACCGACAGCCGGCCCCUCAGAGCUGCACUUUUGAAAAUCGUGUUUAUGGGGCAGCUACAAAGAUUUUGGGUUUUGCCUGUUUUCUGUAAAAAGGUCAACGAAACUUCUGGCCUCUGAGGAAGAUAACCACACCCUGGCUUGAAACAAGGUGCAGGCUGUGUCUGAGGAGGGGAUGUCCGUCCGGGCCAAUGCUAGUAAUGGUAACUUUUGGGGGCGCGGGGGAUGUCACCUCUAACUUGAAGCAAGUGCUUUUGAAACCAAAAAGGGCUUCUUCGUCUUCAUAAACCGCCACUCACCCCCCUCCACCCCCAAAUUAGGCGACACACCAUAUUGCGAGGUGGGCACGAUGGCCUCACCAUACGUUUCUACAGAUCGUGAGAAACCCUCUCAGGAGUGAGCCCCGCGAUUAGCUAAUCCUUCACCAUGACAGGGCGUCUCAGAACAGGAUUCCGCAGCUAAUUAUCUUCCUACUCGGCACAAAUAAAAUUCUGCCACAGAUUCGCUGCCUAGAUAGGAAGACCCCAGGACUGCGUGGGACUGGUAUCUGUCACCUCUGUGAACACUGCCAUGUCACAGAACGGGUGACUGCAGAAUCUCUCUCAAGGCCUGGAAUCCUCGCUCAGUGGGCACAGGGCUGUCUGUGAGGUUCUGUCUCAAUAAAGAUGCUCGGGGCCCUCUCUCCCCUA